AACCGGAUUAGAUACCCUGGUAGUCCACGCCCUAAACGAUGUCUACUAGUUGUCGGGUCUUAAUUGACUUGGUAACGCAGCUAACGCGUGAAGUAGACCGCCUGGGGAGUACGGUCGCAAGAUUAAAACUCAAAGGAAUUGACGGGGACCCGCACAAGCGGUGGAUGAUGUGGAUUAAUUCGAUGCAACGCGAAAAACCUUACCUACCCUUGACAUGGUCGGAAUUUUGCUGAGAGGCAGAAGUGCUCGAAAGAGAACCGAUACACAGGUGCUGCAUGGCUGUCGUCAGCUCGUGUCGUGAGAUGUUGGGUUAAGUCCCGCAACGAGCGCAACCCUUGUCAUUAGUUGCUACGAAAGGGCACUCUAAUGAGACUGCCGGUGACAAACCGGAGGAAGGUGGGGAUGACGUCAAGUCCUCAUGGCCCUUAUGGGUAGGGCUUCACACGUCAUACAAUGGUACAUACAGAGGGCCGCCAACCCGCGAGGGGGAGCUAAUCCCAGAAAGUGUAUCGUAGUCCGGAUUGUAGUCUGCAACUCGACUACAUGAAGUUGGAAUCGCUAGUAAUCGCGGAUCAGCAUGUCGCGGUGAAUACGUUCCCGGGUCUUGUACACACCGCCCGUCACACCAUGGGAGCGGGUUUUACCAGAAGUAGGUAGCUUAACCGCAAGGAGGGCGCUUACCACGGUAGGAUUCGUGACUGGGGUGAAGUCGUAACAAGGUAACCGUA
rnacentral:rRNA from 1 species